AAAGCUACAGAGCAUGUCUGGGAUGAAAAGAGUUCUGGAGAUUCGUUGCACAACAACGUGAGCGUACUUAACACCACUGAACUGCACGCUUAAAAACGGUUAACAUGAGAACAAACAGCUACACCUGUGACUCAGCCCUAAACUCCUCUUACGGGAGACGCUCCGGACACAGAAAAGGGCUGUGGUGCCGCCGCUUCAGCCUCACGGCCAUCACGGUGGCUAGAUUGGAGGAUUAAUGUCAGUUAUGCACGGAGAGGGCGAAAAUGAGCCUCAGCAGGGAGACCUGGGGAACACAGAGCCACGCCUACUGUCCAGCCUGCAGGUGAACUGGACCUCCUGGAUCAACCUCAGCAAAGGGACAGGACGUGAAGCCCCCAGCUUACCUCUGAACCUCUCCGUCUCCUCUGAGCCCAAACUACUGCUCCACAGAGUGAGCUCAAAGGGCUCACUUCCAACUUUCCUCGGUUGGAGGCAAAUGCAAUAAAAAUGUGCAGUCUGUGCCCCUCUCCACACCCACUUACACCCUUUGACAGCUGCACUCACCAGAUUCCAGUGCAAAUACUGCCUCCUCCCACCACCCGCUCGGCAAAAAAGAAAACCCUUUAAAGUCAUACCCUCAGAGCAAACAAAAGAUUUGCUAUUUGUUUGGGGUUUUGUUUUCUUUUUUAAAUCCAUGUUCCUGU
rnacentral:lncRNA from 1 species